rnacentral:rRNA from 1 species
UUAAAUUGAAGAGUUUGAUCAUGGCUCAGAUUGAACGCUGGCGGCAGGCCUAACACAUGCAAGUCGAACGGUAGCACAGAGAGCUUGCUCUCGGGUGACGAGUGGCGGACGGGUGAGUAAUGUCUGGGAAACUGCCUGAUGGAGGGGGAUAACUACUGGAAACGGUGGCUA